CCUACGGGUGGCAGCAGUGGGGAAUAUUGGGCAAUGGGCGCAAGCCUGACCCAGCCACGCCGCGUGAAGGAAGAAGGCUUUCGGGUUGUAAACUUCUUUUGACAGGGCAGCGUAGAAGCCGGUACCUGUCGAAUAAGCCACGGCUAACUACGUGCCAGCAGCCGCGGUAAUACGUAGGUGGCAGGCGUUGUCCGGAUUUACAGGGUGUAAAGGGCGUGUAGCCGGGUUGACAAGUCAGAUGUGAAAUCCUGCGGCUUAACCGUAGAACUGCAUUUGAAACUGUGUAUCUUGAGUACUGGAGAGGCAUACGGAAUUCCUAGUGUAGCGGGGAAAGGCAUAGAUAUUAGGAGGAACACCAGUGGCGAAGGCGGUCUGCUGGACAGCAACUGACGGUGAGGCGCGAAAGCGUGGGGAGCAAACAGGAGUAGAUACCCCAGUAGUC
rnacentral:rRNA from 1 species